rnacentral:rRNA from 1 species
GACGUAGGGUGCGAGCGUUGUCCGGAUUUACUGGGCGUAAAGAGCGCGUAGGCGGCUCGUUAAGUGUGAAGUGAAAUCUCCAGGGCUCAACCCGGAAACUGCUUUACAUACUGGCGAGCUAGAGGAAUGCAGAGGUUGGUGGAAUUCCUGGUGUAGCGGUGAAAUGCGUUGAUAUCAGGAGGAACACCCAUGGCGAAGGCAGCUAACUGGGC